rnacentral:rRNA from 1 species
AGAUCAGAAGCGAGAAUGUUGACAUGAGUAGCGACAAAGAGGGUGAGAGACCCUCUCGCCGAAAGUCCAAGGGUUCCUGCUUAAAGCUAAUCUGAGUAGGGUGAGCCGGCCCCUAAGGCGAGGCCGAAAGGCGUAGUCGAUGGGAACUAGGUUAAUAUUCCUAGGCCAGUGGGAAGUGACGGAUCUCGAAGGUUGUCUGCCCUUAUCGGAUUGGGUGGGCCGCUUAGAGGUUCCUGGAAAUAGCCCCACAUCAGACCGUACCCUAAACCGACACAGGUGGACUGGUAGAGUAUACCAAGGCGCUUGAGAGAACCACGUUAAAGGAACUCGGCAAAAUGCCUCCGUAAGUUCGCGAGAAGGAGGCCCCAUCAGUAGGCAACUAUUGGUGGGGGGCACAAACUAGGGGGUGGCGACUGUUUACUUAAAACACAGGGCUGUGCGAAGCCGUAAGGCGACGUAUACAGUCUGACGCCUGCCCGGUGCUGGAAGAUUAAGAGGAGGGGUGCAAGCUCUGAAUUGAAGUCCCAGUAAACGGCGGCCGUAACUAUAACGGUCCUAAGGUAGCGAAAUUCCUUGUCGGGUAAGUUCCGACCUGCACGAAUGGCGUAACGAUCUCCCCUCUGUCUCUAACGUGGACUCAGCGAAAUUGAACUGUGUGUCAAGAUGCACACUUCCCGCGGUUAGACGGAAAGACCCCAUGCACCUUUACUCUAGCUUUGCUCUGGCAUCAGGAUUGUGAUGUGCAGGAUAGGUGGUAGGCAUUGAAGCGGGGACGCCAGUCUUCGUGGAGCCUCCCUUGAGAUACCACCCUUCGCACUCUUGAUGUCUAACCGCGGCCCGUUAUCCGGGUCCGGGACCCUGCAUGGUGGGGGGUUUGACUGGGGCGGUCGCCUCCUAAACAGUAACGGAGGCGCGCGAUGGUUGGCUCAGACCGGUCGGAAAUCGGUCGUUGAGUGCAAUGGCAGAAGCCAGCCUGACUGCAAGUCUGACAAGACGAGCAGAGACGAAAGUCGGUCAUAGUGAUCCGGUGGUCCCAAGUGGGAGGGCCAUCGCUCAACGGAUAAAAGGUACGCUGGGGAUAACAGGCUGAUGAUGCCCAAGAGUCCAUAUCGACGGCAUCGUUUGGCACCUCGAUGUCGGCUCAUCUCAUCCUGGGGCUGGAGCAGGUCCCAAGGGUAUGGCUGUUCGCCAUUUAAAGAGGUACGUGAGCUGGGUUUAGAACGUCGUGAGACAGUUCGGUCCCUAUCUGCCGUGGGUGUAGGAGACUUGAGAAGAGUUGCCCCUAGUACGAGAGGACCGGGGUGAACGAACCACUGGUGGACCAGUUAUCGUGCCAACGGUAGUGCUGGGUAGCUAUGUUCGGACAGGAUAAACGCUGAAGGCAUCUAAGCGUGAAGCCCCCUUCAAAACAAGGUCUCCCUUGAGAGCCGUGGAAGACCACCACGUCGAUAGGCCGGAGGUGUAAGUGCAGCAAUGCAUUCAGCUGACCGGUACUAAUUGCUC